UACGUAGGCAGCGAGCGUUGUUCGGAGUUACUGGGCGUAAAGGGUGUGUAGGCGGUUGUUUAAGUUUGGUGUGAAAUCUCCCGGCUCAACUGGGAGGGUGCGCCGAAAACUGGAAGGCUAGAGUGCGGGAUGGGAGAGUGGAAUUCCUGGUGUAGCGGUGAAAUGCGUAGAUAUCAGGAGGAACACCUGUGGUGUAGACGGCUCUCUGGACCGCAACUGACGCUGAGACACGAAAGCGUGGGUAGCAAACAGG
rnacentral:rRNA from 1 species